rnacentral:lncRNA from 1 species
AAAGAGUUAGAAUUUACUAAAUCUAGUAUUUUAAAAUCUUCUCCUAUAGCUGAUAUUUGUUCUUCUCUAUAAUGUCUAUAUAGCUGAUUAUCUGUAGAAAAAUAUCCUGCAUUAUAUAAUGUUUUAGGAUUUAAUAAUUUUAAUUGAUGUUGUUGGAAAAUUUGUAAAUCUUUAUCUACAUCUAUUAUUUCAUUAAGUUCUUGGUUUUGCUCCAUAUUAGGUUGUCUUCGGCAUAUUCUGGAUAAUAUAUUAUUAUUUCCUAUUUUAUUCUCCGAAAAACUUAUUCUUUGUUUUUCUUCUCCUUGUCUUUCAUUGUUUUCG